CCUACGGGCGGCAGCAGUGGGGAAUAUUGGACAAUGGGGGGAACCCUGAUCCAGCCAUGCCGCGUGUGUGAAGAAGGCCCUCGGGUUGUAAAGCACUUUCAGUGAGGAAGAACGCCUGGUGGUUAAUACCCAUCAGGAAAGACAUCACUCACAGAAGAAGCACCGGCUAACUCCGUGCCAGCAGCCGCGGUAAUACGGAGGGUGCGAGCGUUAAUCGGAAUUACUGGGCGUAAAGCGCGCGUAGGUGGCUUGAUAAGCCGGUUGUGAAAGCCCCGGGCUCAACCUGGGAACGGCAUCCGGAACUGUCAAGCUAGAGUGCAGGAGAGGAAGGUAGAAUUCCCGGUGUAGCGGUGAAAUGCGUAGAGAUCGGGAGGAAUACCAGUGGCGAAGGCGGCCUUCUGGACUGACACUGACACUGAGGUGCGAAAGCGUGGGUAGCAAACAGGAUUAGAUACCCGUGUAGUC
rnacentral:rRNA from 1 species